CAGUACCUACGGGACGCAGCAGUCGGGAAUAUUGCGCAAUGGAGGAAACUCUGAUGCAGUGACGCCGCGUAUAGGAAGAAGGUUUUCGGAUUGUAAACUAUUGUCGUGAGGGAAGAAAUUGACAGUACCUCAGGAGGAAGCUCCGGCUAACUAUGUGCCAGCAGCCGCGGUAAUACAUAGGGAGCAAGCGUUAUCCGGAUUUAUUGGGUGUAAAGGGUGCGUAGACGGGAAAUUAAGUUAGUUGUGAAAUCCCUCGGCUUAACUGAGGAACUGCACCUAAAACUGGUUUUCUUGAGUACUGGAGG
rnacentral:rRNA from 1 species